rnacentral:rRNA from 1 species
GGCCCCGCACAAGCGGCGGAGCAUGCGGAUUAAUUCGAUGCAACGCGAAGAACCUUACCUGGGUUUGACAUAUAUCGGAAACGUUCAGAGAUGGGCGCCCCGUAAGGUCGGUAUACAGGUGGUGCAUGGCUGUCGUCAGCUCGUGUCGUGAGAUGUUGGGUUAAGUCCCGCAACGAGCGCAACCCUCGUCCAAUGUUGCCAGCGGGUUAUGCCGGGGACUCAUUGGAGACCGCCGGGGUCAACUCGGAGGAAGGUGGGGAUGACGUCAAGUCAUCAUGCCCCUUAUGUCCAGGGCUUCACGCAUGCUACAAUGGCCGGUACAAAGAGUUGCGGGCCUGUGAGGGUGAGCGAAUCUCAAAAAGCCGGUCUCAGUUCGGAUUGGGGUCUGCAACUCGACCCCAUGAAGUCGGAGUCGCUAGUAAUCGCAGAUCAGCAACGCUGCGGUGAAUACGUUCCCGGGGCUU